rnacentral:tRNA from 1 species
GGGCUCGUAGCUCAACGGUUAGAGCAUCGGCUUAUCACGCCGAAGGCGGGAGAAGGUUCUUGAGCGCA